GAUUAACAGCGCGUGCUCUGGAAUAAAGCUUGCCAGGUCUUCCCGCGUAAUUGAAGAGGAGAGACUCAAGAAGCAAAGAGAACCCUGAGGUGGAUGUUCAUAAAACCUCAGACUGCUGAGCACAUGAGAGAACAAUGAAUAUGCCAACAAAUUUCACAUUUCUGUCCUUUAAAAAUGGGAAGAUGGCCGCUGAGAAACUGAUGACCAACUCCUAUUGGAUCUACAGUCAGUUCAUCCAACUGCCCUAAAUGGAAAAAAACGGCUUCACUAUCCCAUGCAUGAAUUUUUUUUGGGGGGGGGGAGUUACUUAGAGCACAUAUUCACAGGCCAGUACCAUCUAUACAAAAUGAAGCUACGAUGAUUUGCGUGGUUUCCCUAACGUUAAAAUAACAUCCGAAACACAGUUUUUUCAGGAUUAACUUUUAAGAGCCAAUUCUUGGCACUGGCCCACCAAACUAAUGAGUUUAAUAUCAGCACUUUAAUUUUAAUGCAUCAUGUCCAAGCUCUGGCUCUCACAUGAGCAGGAUAUGUAGAAAGCAGCAGCGGAGUGGAGAGGAGCUAGCCAUUUUCCUCGAAAUCUGAUGAGCUUAAGCACGAGAGAACAACUGAAUAGGACUCCUAAAUUCAAGCUGAACCAGCUAUCAAAUUCUGUGUGCAGUUGCGUAUGUUUGUCAUUCAGCAUUGCCUGUUCCCCCAGUCCCUCAGCUCUUUUCAAGAAGAUUAGUUGUUGUUUUUUCCAUAUUAAAAAAAGUUUGAAUUAGAAAUGACUUAAGACUACUCAAAUCAUGCUAAGCCGCUCCUGUUAAUGUUCCUGGUUGUCUAAUGAUAUAAAAUAAAACCA